rnacentral:rRNA from 1 species
CCUACGGGAGGCAGCAGUGAGGAAUAUUGGUCAAUGGACGAGAGUCUGAACCAGCCAAGUAGCGUGAAGGAUGACUGCCCUAUGGGUUGUAAACUUCUUUUAUAAAGGAAUAAAACGAGGCCCGUGUGCCUUUUUGCAUGUACUUUAUGAAUAAGGAUCGGCUAACUCCGUGCCAGCAGCCGCGGUAAUACGGAGGAUCCGAGCGUUAUCCGGAUUUAGUGGGUUUAAAGGGAGGGUAGAGGGGUUGUUAAGUCAGCUGUGAAAACUACGGGCUUAACUUGUAGACUGCAGUUGAAACUGGUUCUCUUGAGUGAAGUAGAGGUUGGCGGAAUGCCGAGUGUAGCGGUGAAAUGCGUAGAUAUUCGGAGGAACACCGGUGGCGAAGGCAGCCAACUGGGCUUUAACUGACGCUGAGGCUCGAAAGUGUGGGGAGCAAACAGGAUUAGAUACCCCAGUAGUC